CCCAGUUGUGUCUGGGAACGCUGGCAUCCCUGGCUUGAGCCUGAAUAAACGCCCUCAUGUGAUUUGCAUCGGUGUCUGGCUCUCUCAUAUGGUCAUUGGGAAUUUAGAUUCUCAGGUGUAACAUUUGGUGCAUUGGCUGGGAACCCCCAAGACCCCAAGAGACUCCACCCGGGGGGCCGAUUAAGGAUAUUGUCUACAGGCCUAAGACGGGCCAUCCCGAUCAGCUCCCGUACAUCACCACCUGGCAGGACCUGGUCAAGAACCCUCCUCCCUGGAUGAAAAGUAUCUUACCACCCCGGGUGGAAGGAAACAAGGCCAGUACAGCAGAGGCCUGCACAGUGUUUGCCCUGUGGGAAAAGCCUAAACCCAGAGACGCUAGACCCCCGUCUCUGCACCCCUGUAUCCUGUGUUGCUGAGUGAGGCGAGCCCGGAAGAACUUUUUCUCUCACCCUACUUCCCUUUAAUUCAGGCGCGCCAUAACGCUCAGCAGGUACUGGGAGAGGCUGAAGCAGCAGCAGCACCACCUGCCGGCAGCCCACCACAUACCCGCAGGAGGGCCCUACUGAACGUGCCUGGACACGUGGGCUGUUGCCGAUUCUACAGCCUCACCACUCUGGGCGGUGGGCCCUCCUGAGGAGGGAACUUUACACUAUUGGCCCUUCACCACAAGUGACCUGUACAACUGGAAAAUGCAGAACCCCAAGUUCUCAGAAAACCCCCCGGCCCUUACUGACUUAUCAGAUUCUGUCUUUUUCACUCAUCAGCCAACUUCAGACAACUGCCAGCAACUGCUACAGGUCCUCUUCACUACCGAGCAGAGGGACCGAAUCUUGAUAGAGGCACAGAAGUCCAUCCUAGACAACAAUAGGCAGCCUACCACAAAUCCAGUAUUAAUGGAAGCUGCGUUCCCACUGACCUGGCCAGACUGGGAUUUCAAUACGGCAGAAGGUAAGGGGAGACUCCAGGUUUACUGCCAGACUCUAAUGGGGGGGUAAAGCGGCGAGGAAGCUGACUAAUUUGGCUAAGGUAGGGAAUGUGCAGCAAGAGAGGGAUGAAUCCCCUUCCGCCUUCCUGGAGUGGAUCAUGGAGGCGUUCCGCACUUACACGCCCGUGGAUCCAGAGGUGGAGGGAAGUAAAGCUGCAGUAAUGAUGGCUUUUGUGAAUCAGUCAGCUCCAGACAUUAAAAGGAAACUUCAGAGAAUAGACAGGUUGGCAGAGAAGUCCCUGCAGGACUUGCUGGUGGUGGCUGAACGAGUAUACAACAACCAAGAGAGCCCAGAGGAAAGACAGAUGCGUGCCAGCAACAAGCAGACCAAGGACUUCGCUAAGAUCCUGCUCGCCACCACGGUAAGUGGCUCUGAAGAGAAGGAGCGGAGGCUGCGGAGACUGGCGGCUGGAAAAGGUAGGGAGUCACCCUGGGGGGAUGGAGCUCAGCUGCCGAGAGACCAGUGUGCGUAAUGCAAGGAGACUUAGACAAAAAAACAGGACAAGGAGGAUCUCCCUCGCAACCGAGCCCGUGUCCUAGAACUUGAGGAACUCAGUGACUAGAAAGACGAGGCUCAGAUCCCCUCCCCGAGCUCUGGGUAACCCUUAAAGUGGAGGGGGCGCCAAUAGACUUCUUAAUAGAUACAGGUGCACAACACUCAGUCCCAAUAGAAAGUGGAGGCAAGCGAGCCUCCAAGAAAUCCUGGGUGCAGGGUGCUACUGGGUUGAAGCAAUAUUCAUGGACCACCCGGAGAACAGUGGACAUAGGGGCAGGUCAAGUGUCACACGCAUUCAUGGUCAUUGCAGACUGCCCUUACCCCUUCCUGGGUAGAGACUUCCUUAGUAAAAUUGGAGCACAAAUUUCUUUCAAACAAGGAAAACCACAGGUUACAGACAAACAGGGACAUCCUGUCCAUGUUCUCACUCUACGCUUGGAGGAUCAAUAUUGGCUCCAUCAACAACCUCUGUCACCAGCCCGAGCAGAUACUCCAGAUGGCUGGACUCUUACAUGUCAUCCUGGGCUGAAACAGGGGGAGCGGGGCUGGCAAGACACCAGGCCCCAGUUAUAGUCGAACUUAAUCCUGGAGCAGAACGAGUGUGGGUACGGCAGUACCUUAUGACCCCUGAGGCUAGAAAAGGAAUUCUGCCACAUAUUUGGCGGUUAUUAGAUGCAGGGAUUCUAACCUCCUGCCAGUCCCCAUGAAACACCUCCUUGCUACCAGUAAAAAAAAAAACAACCCUCACCAAUGAUUACUGGCCAGUUCAAGACCUCCAGUAAGUUAAUAAAUGGGUGAUGGACAUAUAUCCCACCGUGCCAAACCCCUAUAAUCUCUUAAGUUCACUGGCCCCAUCCCAGACCUGGUAUACAGUAUUAGAUUUAAAAGACGCUUUCUUCAGCCUGUCGCUGGCACCCCAGAGCCAGUCCCUGUUUGCCUUUGAGUGGAGUGAUCCAGAGAGGGGUAUCAGUGGGCAGCUAAUGUGGACCCACUUGCCACAAGGGUUCAAAAACUCUCCAACUAUCUUUGAUGAGGCCCUGCAUGAAGACCUGGGUGAGUUCCGCAGGCAGCAUCCCAACCUAACUCAACUUCAGUAAGUAGAUGACAUUCUAGUGGUGGCCACCAAUGAACAGGACUGCCUGCAAGGCACACGAGACCUGCUCGUCACACUGGGGGACCGGGGGUAUCGAGCAUUGGCAAAGAAGGCCCAGAUCUGUCAGCAAACUGUGAGUUACCUGGGAUACACCCUUAAAGAUGGUCAAAGGUGGCUCACUGCGGCCAGGAAACAGACUGUACUUAAGAUCCCGACCCCAACAAACCCCAGGCAGGUGCGUGGGUUUUUGGGGUCCGCAGGGUUCUGUCGACCUUGGGUACCAGGCUUUGCUAAAAUCACAAAACUCCUCUAUGAAGCCACAAGGGAGCGGCACCCCUUUGAGUGGACGACAAAGAGAACUAGCCUUUCAAAAACUUAAGACUGCUCUGCUCUCUUCCCCUGCUCUGGGACUCCCUGAUAUUACAAAACCAUUUCAUCUCUGUGUAGAUGAACAUAAAGGAAUAGCCAAGGGGGUGCUGACCCAGCCACUGGGACCCUGGAAUCACCCAGUAGCUUACUUAUCAAAGAAACUAGACCCGGUAGCAUCAGGAUGGCCCCCUUGCCUCCGCAUUGUGGCAGCCACUGUGCUGCUAGUAAAGGAUUCAGACAAACUCACCCUGGGGCAGGAACUGUUGCUGACCACGCCCCAUGCCAUUGAGGGGGGGUCUUAAAACAACCCCCAGACCCGUGAAUGAGCAAUACGCAUCUAACACACUAUUAGUGCUUGUUGCUAAACCCGCCAUGAAUUCGGUUCUUGCCCAGCACUGCCUUAAAUCCCGCCACGCUCCUGCCCACUUGAAAGUGGAGACACCACUCCACAAUUGCCAGGAUAUCCUAGCCCAAGUCCAUAGCACGCACCAAGACCUGACUGACCAACUGCUGCGGGACGCAGAGGAAACCUGGUUCACGAUGGAAGCAGCUUCAUUAAAAAUGGCCAACGGAAUUCGGGAGCGGUGGUGGUCCCUGAGGCAGGAAUGCUCUGGGUGGGCUGAGCCUCUUCCAGCUGGAACCUCUGCCCAACGGGCUGAAUUAAUUGCCCUCACCAAGACUUUAGUUCUAGGCCAAGGAAAAAAACUUAAUAUCUAUACUGACAGUCGGUACGCGUUCGCCACCACUCACAUACAUGGGGCCAUCUACCAGGAGAGGGGGUUGUUGACAGCAGAAGGGAGGACCGUUAAAAACAAAGAAGAAAUAUUAGACUUAUUAGCCGCCAUCUGGCUGCCAAAAAAGUUAGCCAUCAUCCAAAACCUACUGCUCCCAUGGCAAAGGGAAAUCAUCAGGCAGACAAAGCCACCAGAAGUGCAGCCCUCAGAACCACACAGGCUUUGACGGUUAACUUACCCGAUACUGGGCCUCCGGUCCUGCCAGAAAAGCCUGAAUACACCCCUGAGGACUUAGCGUGGAUCCGCUCCAUCCCUCAAGCCCAUAAUCCUCCCUUCCCCCAGUAUAACGGCUGGUGGCGCAUAGCCAAUAGGAAAACUAUCCUCCCUGUGCGGCUUGGACUAGACAUCUUGCAGCGUAUGCACCAGGCAACCCAUAUGGGCAAUAAGAAGUUAAGAGAUCUAGUUCAACAUGCACAAAUUAAGAUCAAGCAAGUGGAUACAAAAGUGGACCAGACAGUAAACGUUUGCAAAGCUUGCCAGGUCACUAAUGCCCGAGGCCGGGCUUAAAAUGCAAGGCACCCGCACAAGACGGACCAAGCCUUGUGUGUAUUGGGAAGUGGACUUCACAGAAAUUAAGCCUGGUUCAAAAAGAGAACUGGAACCACCUGAGUGCCACCUACGCAGCGGGUCCAAUUCCAGAGCCUCACAAGUUCCAGCCAGGGGACUGGGUCUAUGUCAAGAGGCACUGGCAGGAGACUCUCGAACCCUGGUGGAAA